rnacentral:tRNA from 1 species
UGUUGCUUAGUUGGUAGAGCACAAGGCUCUUAACCUUGUGGUCGUGGGUUCAAGCCCUAUCA